GAUGAACGCUGGCGGCGUGCUUAACACAUGCAAGUCGAACGAUGAAGCCCAGCUUGCUGGGUGGAUUAGUGGCGAACGGGUGAGUAACACGUGAGUAACCUGUCCUUAACUCUGGGAUAAGCCUGGGAAACUGGGUCUAAUACCGGAUAGGAGCGUCCACCGCAUGGUGGGUGUUGGAAAGAUUUAUCGGUUUUGGAUGGACUCGCGGCCUAUCAGCUUGUUGGUGAGGUAAUGGCUCACCAAGGCGACGACGGGUAGCCGGCCUGAGAGGGUGACCGGCCACACUGGGACUGAGACACGGACCAGACUCCUACGGGAGGCAGCAGUGGGGAAUAUUGCACAAUGGGCGCAAGCCUGAUGCAGCGACGCCGCGUGAGGGAUGACGGCCUUCGGGUUGUAAACCUCUUUCAGUAGGGAAGAAGCGAAAGUGACGGUACCUGCAGAAGAAGCACCGGCUAACUACGUG
rnacentral:rRNA from 1 species